GCGUUAAACAGCUCAAAACCACACUGAUUAGUAGGUUGGCGUUAAUUAGUUUCCCUCUGUUUAUACCUGCACCAAAAAGGACCAAACAGGUCGUGUUUUCCCGGUAUAUUUUAGACGUAUACCGAGUUAAACUAGAAUGACUCUGUUAACAUCAGCGUGUCUCUGCGUGGCUCUGCUGUUCGUCUGUGUCGUGGAUUUGGCUUCCUCAGACCAGACAACCAUCACAGCUGAGUCUGGACAGAAGAACGUCACUCUGACAUGUCGAGCUCCACAAGGCAAAACCAUCAGAGCUGUGAAGUGGAGCAGAGCUGACCUGGGAGAUAAAUAUGUGCUUUUGUACCGAGAUGAGCUGUUUGAUCAAACAAGCCAGCAUCCAUCUUUUAAGAACCGGGUGGAUCUGCAGGACAGACAGAUGAAGGAUGGAGACGUGUCUUUGAUUCUGAAGGAUGUGACGAUUAAUGAUGCUGGAACAUACGAGUGUCGUGUCAUUGUGGGAGAAUCAGCAUCAUUGGAGAUCAUGGGAACCGUCAACAUGAGUGUUCUUCCUCCAGGUCACCAGGGAGACACGGAGGAUGGAGGGAUAAAGGAUAUCCCUGUUGGACUUAAAAUCGUGUGUUUACAGGAGGUACUGCAUGGGGGACUCAUCAGUUUUAACUAGAUCAUCAACAGCGACUGAAAUGAAACUCCACAACAUGAAACUGUUCACUGAUGAGACUUCAGUGAACAGUAGAUGAAUCAACUGAAGGACCAGAUGCAUCUCUCAGGUCCUGUUUCUUCAGGACAUGACUUUCACAGACUGUUUAUCUGCUGCAGAUAGUUGUUUUGUUUUGCUUUUUAGCCCUGAUACUUCGUCUUUCCUCAUUCACUUGUCCAGUUUAGUCAGAUUUUUAAGGACCCACUGCACACUGAGAUACUCCAACUUUUAAGAUAUCCGUUAAAGAAUCAGAUAGUUGGUGCAGUUCUGUUAUUCUGUCUGUCAAACUGUGUUAUCUUUGGCAGGUUUCCCAAAUCUAACUAAAGAAAUGGAAACAAAUGUGUUGUUGGGACAGAUUUCUUGUAAUAAAGUCUCUAAAGUUACAGUUUAA
ensembl:lncRNA